rnacentral:lncRNA from 1 species
UCCUGGCCCUUUGGCAGCCUUUGCCUGGGGACGGCGAUGCCCUGCGCUGCUGCCCGGGUCGCAGCAGCCUGCCGAGAUGUACAACGCGGCGAGCAACAACAAAUAAAUGAUUAAAAAAAGAGCGGCGAUACACGCACCACGCUCAGACACUCCCCCCCCCCCCCCCCCCNGCUCCAGGCGGGCGGGGAGCCCUGACCUCGGGCAGGGCCGGCGGCGGGGCGUGGGCCAUGCGGACGGCGGAGCUCACGUAGUCGAUGAGGUGGUGGCGGUCGGACCUGAAGAACGCCUCGGCCCGCUGCAGGGCGGCCAGGCCGGGCUGGAAGAGGUGGAACCGCGCCGUGUCGGUGCCGGGAGCCACGUAGCGUUCCAGCUUCUGCAGCGGGAACACGACGCCGAUGCGGCGGCUCCGCUCCAGACGCAGCACCUGGGACAGGGCGGCCAAGGCCGGCGGGGAACGGCCCGUCCCGCCACCCGCCCGCGGCACCAGCAUCGCGACGCAGGCCCAGGCCCUGGCCCCGGCCCAGGCCCCGCCCCGGAAGGCGGCGGGGCCUGGCGGGGCCUGGCGGGGCCUGGCGGGGCCUGGCGGGGCCUGGCGGGGCCUGGCGGGGCCUGGCGGGGCCUGGCGGGGCCUGGCGGGGCCUGGCGGGGCCUGGCGGGGCCCUGCCCUGAUGGUGAUACGAGGAAAUACUCACCUGCUUUGCAACUUAUUUACUUCCAGCAACUUAUAAUGAUUUCUGAAUAUUGCUUCAUAAUCCUGCUUGCCCUGACUGUUCUGUGGAAGCUUACCAAGGGCUACUGCGUUCAUCAAAACAAAGCAGUUUGCUGUGGAAACUUACCAAGAAUUACUGUGUUCGGCAAAAAUGUUUCUUGUCCUUGGAAAGCAGAUGUGCUCUAAUUAGUUUAGUCUUGGUAAUGAAUAAGAUAGCCAUAUACGGACGGUAGAAGUUCCAUUGGUAGUUUUAGAUAAGAUAGAAUGAGUAAACUGGCUCAAAACACUCUUGUUCUUCAAGAAAUUGGCCAAGAGAAUCUGCACAUGCUCCAAGGAAAAGUACAAGGUGAGGAGGACUGUGAGCCUUCCUCCAAAAGCCCCCCCGAAGACGCCCCCCAGGAGGCAAUGUGCAGGCGCAAGUGCAGUUUUAAAGAUUAAAUUACUUACAUAAAAU